rnacentral:tRNA from 1 species
CCUUCGAUAGCUCAGUUGGUAGAGCGGUGGACUGUAGUUGUGUUUAAUUAUUCAAAAAGAGACAUCCAUAGGUCGCUGGUUCAAAUCCGGCUCGAAGGA